rnacentral:rRNA from 1 species
UAGGGAAUCUUCGGCAAUGGGGGCAACCCUAACCGAGCAACGCCGCGUGAGUGAAGAAGGUUUUCGGAUCGUAAAGCUCUGUUGUAAGAGAAGAACGUGUGUGAGAGUGGAAAGUUCACACAGUGACGGUAACUUACCAGAAAGGGACGGCUAACUACGUGCCAG